GGAGAGGUGGCGAGUUCGGCUGAAGGCGCUCCCCUGCUAAGGGAGUAUAGAGUUUAUAGCUCUAUCGGGGGUUCGAAUCCCCCCCUCUCCG
rnacentral:tRNA from 1 species